rnacentral:rRNA from 1 species
CGCGCAGGCGGUCGUACAAGUCGAAUGUGAAAGCCCCCGGCUCAACUGGGGAGGGUCAUUCGAUACUGUUCGACUCGAAGGCAGGAGAGGGAAGCGGAAUUCCCGGUGUAGUGGUGAAAUGCGUAGAUAUCGGGAGGAACACCAGUGGCGAAGGCGGCUUCCUGGCCUGUUCUUGACGCUGAGGCGCGAAAGCUAGGGGAGCAAACGGGAUUAGAUACCCCGGUAGUCCUAGCCGUAAACGAUGGACACUAGGUGUUGGCGGUAUCAACCCCGCCAGUGCCGUAGCUAACGCAUUAAGUGUCCCGCCUGGGGAGUACGGCCGCAAGGCUAAA